rnacentral:rRNA from 1 species
AUUGAACGCUGGCGGCAGGCCUAACACAUGCAAGUCGAACGGUAACAGGAAGACGCUUGCUUCUUUGCUGCCGAGUGGCGGACGGGUGAGUCAUGUCUGGGAAACUGCCUGAUGGAGGGGGAUAACUACUGGAAACGGUAGCUAAUACCGCAUAACGUCGCAAGCCCAAAGAGGGGGACCUUCUGGCCUCUUGCCAUCGGAUGUGCCCAGAUGGGAUUAGCUAGUAGGUGGGGUAACGGCUCACCUAGGCGACGAUCCCUCGCUGGUCUGAGAGGAUGACCAGCCACACUGGAACUGAGACAAGGUCCAGACUCCUAAGGGAGGCAGCAGUGGGGAAUAUUACACAAUGGGCGCAAGCCUGAUGCAGCCAUGCCGCGUGUAUGAAGAAGGCCUUCGGGUUGUAAAGUACUUUCAGCGGGGAGGAAGGGAGUAAAGUUAAUACCUUUGCUCAUUGACGUUACCCGCAGAAGAAGCACCGGCUAACUCCGUG